rnacentral:rRNA from 1 species
UACGUAGGGGGCAAGCGUUGUCCGGAUUCAUUGGGCGUAAAGAGCGUGUAGGCGGCCAGGUAGGUCGGUUGUGAAAACUGGAGGCUCAACCUUCAGAGGUCGACCGAAACCAUCUGGCUAGAGUCCGGGAGAGGAGAGUGGAAUUCCUGGUGUAGCGGUGAAAUGCGCAGAUAUCAGGAAGAACACCCGUGGCGAAAGCGGCUCUCUGGAACGGUACUGACGCCCGAGACGCGAAAGCGUGGGGAGCGAACAGG